rnacentral:lncRNA from 1 species
UUUCAUUUUAAUAUUCUUUGCUACAAUAUGCUUUAGUUAGAGUGGGGCAUAUAUAUGAGAAUUAAAAUUUUGCUAGAGAAUAGCUUAGAAUAUAAACUCUGUAAGGAUGAUUUUUUAACCUAUUUUAAUGGCACAUGCCAUGGGAAGAUCAAUGCUAUUUUAGCAAGAACCCAGUAUGUUUUAUAUACUAUGAAAAUGAAAGGGAAAAUUGAUACUAAUGGAAUAGUAUACAUUAAAAAAAAUUAUACCCGUGUUUUAUUAAGUAUUUAAAAGUAUUUUCUUUGUGAUUAUUUUAUGGUGUAUUUUUGUAACGAAUUUUUCAUGCCCUAACUUUGGAGCUUUUGUUCUAUUUUUUAUAUGUUUGUUUACCGAUGUCAUUUUUUAUAUAAUUGUGUUUUAAUGGGUUGUUUUGUUGCAGAAAUAGCAAUUAGGGUUAUCUGAUAGAUAUCCUGAUACCUCCAGUAUUCUGUCACUACUCGAUACGUGAACCAUUUCUCAGAUGGAGUAACGAGAUGCUUUAUGUAGCUCAUUCAGUCCUGAGGAGCAGCGACAACAACGCUCCUGCGAUUGAAUACAGACUUUAUCACAUCCAAUGACGACUGCAACCAUAAUCUUCGAAUCGAUUUGACACUCAUUGUUUUUACCUGACACCUGAAUGAGAUAUCAUUUGAACAAAGUAGUCUGAACUGGUUUUUCCUCUGUAACCAGGUCUCUAAGAACUGCCACACCAUUUUCAGAAGCAAAGGAUUCACUUCUGUAAAUGCAUCAGCUGGAAAAGCAUUUAGGCCACAAGAUAGAUCAAGCAAUUGGAACGUUUCUUUUGUAUACACCAAUAAUUGUUGGUUAUUUCACAAAAUUGUUUGAGUACAGUUCAUUGAAACUUGCUAAAAAUUACAAUUGUUCUACUUGCUGAAGAUGAUCAUAGUAACAGGAUCAAGACCAUAAAGCGUCAGGUGUUAAAAGAAAUUGAGCAUCUUUGCCAACGCUCUGACUGUUGACACUUCUAAUUGUAUUUCUUGUACAAUAAUUCAAAGUUAUAAACGUAGAUUGUUUAAUGGGGUUUUGAGUGUUGUUGACUUAUAUUAGUUCUGUUAAUAAAAUGAUUGAGAGUGGUCCGGUUUUGUGGUAAAAAUAA